GAUGAACGCUGGCGGCGUGCCUAAUACAUGCAAGUCGAGCGAACGGACGAGAAGCUUGCUUCUCUGAUGUUAGCGGCGGACGGGUGGGUAACACGUGGAUAACCUACCUAUAAGACUGGGAUAACUUCGGGAAACCGGAGCUAAUACCGGAUAAUAUUUUGAACCGCAUGGUUCAAAAGUGAAAGACGGUCUUGCUGUCACUUAUAGAUGGAUCCGCGCUGCAUUAGCUAGUUGGUAAGGUAACGGCUUACCAAGGCAACGAUGCAUAGCCGACCUGAGAGGGUGAUCGGCCACACUGGAACUGAGACACGGUCCAGACUCCUACGGGAGGCAGCAGUAGGGAAUCUUCCGCAAUGGGCGAAAGCCUGACGGAGCAACGCCGCGUGAGUGAUGAAGGUCUUCGGAUCGUAAAACUCUGUUAUUAGGGAAGAACAUAUGUGUAAGUAACUGUGCACAUCUUGACGGUACCUAAUCAGAAAGCCACGGCUAACUAUGUG
rnacentral:rRNA from 1 species